UUCCCCACCUGUCAGCGGCUGGGGCGCAGGGGCAGGCCGUGGCGGAACCCUGGCGUGGGCAGAGGCCGGAGAGUGUUUUAGCCCACGGAGGAGUAUUCUCCGGCCUGUUAGCUCCCUCCGCACCGAGCAGGCAAGCAGGCUGUUCUGAGUUAGAUGUCCCUGUAACCCGCCGCGUGGAGCCCAGCACCGGACAGACUCUGAUUGUCCUGUGCAGACGGGGACCGAGUGCAGCCGUCUCGGCCAGGAGCUACAUGGAGGCUACGCAACCUUAUGCAGGGCUGACAUGAGCACGUGCCCCACAGGCUGACGGCUGCAGUCCCACCCCUGGAGACCUUCCUGCACAUAAAUAGGAGCACAAGUUGCAGAGGGCUGGCGUCUGCACCCCCAGGUCGCAUCCUCACUGUUCCGGGAAGCAGCAGGAGAGGAGGCAGGAGGAGUCCGCACCAAGGGUGUCUGCUGGCCCCUCUGGGAUGACCUGCUCCAUGUCCUUUCCCUAUGAAGAGGAGGGACCUAGAUGAGACACAGUGCACCAUGGGAAAGUGGACGCAGUAGAUUGACAGAUAAGGACACAGGGUUUCACUGCAGGGCUGGCAGUUCCAGCUCAUGUACUGCACCUAACUCCCAGCCUCCGUUCCCCCAUCAGCACCCUCCCAGAUUUCAGAAACACCAGUGUUAUCCCCUCAACAUUGUGGACCCGCUUCCUGGUGAGCUCCAAGAAAAUGCUGCGGGAGCAGCUGUCUCUCUCUCUGCCUUUCAGAUAAAUACAUAAAACGUAAGACAUUCUGAGGUCUGAUUAUUGUUUACAGCCCUUGUCUGAACCUUGAGGAUCAGUGGUUUUUCUGUUUACUGCUUGUUGAACAUUUCGUGGAGGGUUAAGUUUGUGAUUGUAAAAUAAACAAACUGUCAUUGUAAAAAUUAAAAGAAAAAACAAAGGAAGGAGGAGGGAGUCUCACUAUGCUCCUAAGUCUGUAUAUAUGAAAUACAUGACAUUUGUACAUUUUAUAGAAAUAAAAAAAAUUUAAAAAUAAAAUUAAAAGUUGUACAGAUACCUGUUCAUUACAGAAAAUCCAGAGAGGGAUGAGUAGUUUUUAAAAUAGCACUUGGUAAGCCACCUGCCAUAUCAGAGAGCCUUAUUCAAGUCCCACUCUGCUUCCAAUCCAGCCUCCUGCUAAUAGGCAUCAUGGGAGGACAGAUUAAGUUCUGGGCUCCAGGCUUCAACCUGGCCGAGUCCCAGCUACUGCGGGCAUUUGAGGAGUAAACCAGCAGCCAAAGAUUUUGUUUUCCCUCUC